AGAACGAACGCUGGCGGCAUGCCUAACACAUGCAAGUCGAACGAGACCUUCGGGUCUAGUGGCGCACGGGUGCGUAACGCGUGGGAAUCUGCCCUUGGGUACGGAAUAACAGUUAGAAAUGACUGCUAAUACCGUAUAAUGACUUCGGUCCAAAGAUUUAUCGCCCAGGGAUGAGCCCGCGUAGGAUUAGCUUGUUGGUGAGGUAAAGGCUCACCAAGGCGACGAUCCUUAGCUGGUCUGAGAGGAUGAUCAGCCACACUGGGACUGAGACACGGCCCAGACUCCGUACGGGAGGCAGCAGUGGGGAAUAUUGGACAAGUGGGACGAAAGCCUGAUCCAGCAAUGCCGCGUGAGUGAUGAAGGCCUUAGGUGUAAAGCUCUUUACCGGGAUGAUAAUGACAGUACGGAGAAUAAGCUCGACUAACUCGCGCAGCAGCCGC
rnacentral:rRNA from 1 species